GACGAACGCUGGCGGCGUGCCUAAUACAUGCAAGUAGAACGCACAGUUUAUACCGUAGCUUGCUACACCAUAAACUGUGAGUUGCGAACGGGUGAGUAACGCGUAGGUAACCUGCCUGGUAGCGGGGGAUAACUAUUGGAAACGAUAGCUAAUACCGCAUAAUAUUGAUUAUUGCAUGAUAAUUGAUUGAAAGAUGCUAUUGCAUCACUACCAGAUGGACCUGCGUUGUAUUAGCUAGUAGGUGAGGUAACGGCUCACCUAGGCGACGAUACAUAGCCGACCUGAGAGGGUGAUCGGCCACACUGGGACUGAGACACGGCCCAGACUCCUACGGGAGGGAGCAGUAGGGAAUCAUCGGCAAUGGACGAAAGUCUGACCGAGCAACGCCGCGGGAGUGAAGAAGGUUUUCGGAUCGUAAAGCUCUGUUGUAAGAGAAGAACGGGUGUGAGAGUGGAAAGUUCACACUGUGACGGUAUCUUACCAGAAAGGGACGGCUAACUACGUG
rnacentral:rRNA from 1 species